rnacentral:lncRNA from 1 species
GCAGAGAGACCCAAGAAGUCUUUUGGGGACAGGAGUGAACUCUGGAAAGCUGUUGCUUCUGUGAUAACAAGAGACUGAGCUAGCCUGUGUGGCCUUUCCCUCUUCUCGCCCCAUAGUCCUCCUGCCUUGCAUACCUAAGUGGUGCUUAGAACCUGGAAAGUGAGAGAAAGGAGAUGUGCAGGGACAUGGCUCCAGCUCUGAUAGGGUAGCGCUCUUUGAUCUGACUCUCGAUGCCUGCUGAUCUCCAAACUUCCUGUUAAAUGAGAAAUUCCUCUAGGUUUCAGCCACUCAAAUGUGGUUUUCAAUGACCUGUGGCUAAACCCAGCAUGAAGCAAUGCCAUGUACAUGGAACAGCAAGUGAUGAGUCCUAAGGUCAACUGCGGACUUUGGGUGAUGAACAUGUGUCAGUGUGGGUUCAUCAGUGGUGACAAAUGCAUCACUGUGCUGGGUGCCAUUGGUCACAGCGGAGGCCAUGUGCCUGUGGGGGCAGGGAGAUUGGGGAAAAUCGCUACUUCCUCUCAGUUUGGUUUCGAACCUAAAACUGCUUAAAAAAGAAAAUUAGUCUUCUUUUUAAAAGAGAAAAGAACUGUGUCUGAAAAAGUUUGAAGUUUGAUAACUCACUGAAUGCCACUUUCUCUAUGAAAGCCCAGAGGCUGUAAAUUCUGGGGCCUGGCUUUCCUAACUGGAACAACAGUUGCCUCUGUAAUCCUCUCUCUGGCCCUCCCUCCAAAAAGGAGUUUUUUUAUAAACAUGGUCUUCAAUGGCCAACUUUUCAAAAUCAAGCUUUUAAUUAGGGCUCCAAAGUAAAGUUGGUUCUUGACAUGGAGUGGCUGUUCUCAAUUCUCUGUGCCCUGUUAUUCCCAUAAAUUAUAGAAACAGCAUGGAAUUUAAAACAGCCAUGCGAACUUAACUGAUUCAUUAAAUCAAAAAUUUAAUGGGUACCUAUUAAGUUCCAGGCUUUGAGAAGAUAAAACACUUGGCAAUCACAGUCUAGGGAAGAAGAUAGACUCGGAAAUAAUUAAUUUCUUUUUCUUUUUUAGGGCCACCCCUCCUGGGAACCUCCAUCUGCCACGGGAGUGGCCCAAGAAAUGGCAAAAAGCCAAAAAAAAAAAAGAGAGUCAGGCAGGGUUUGAAACAUGGCAGACGACGUGGACCAGCAACAAACUCCCAACAUUGCAGAAGAGCCCCUGAAUCUCAUCAGGCUCAGCCUGGAUGAGCAAAUCUAUGUGAAAAUGAGAAACGACAGAGAGCUUCGAGGUAGGUGACAUGCUUAUGAUCAGUACUUAAAUAUAAUAUUGGGAGAUGUGGAAGAAACUGUGACAGCUGUGGAAAUUGAUGAAGAAAUGUAUGAAGAACAAUAUAAAUCAACAAAAUGGAAUAUUCCACUGCUCUUUGUCUGGGGAGAUGGUGUCGUGCUAGUUACCCUGCCCUCGAGAGUUGCCUGGAACAAAGAAUUUAUCCUGUGUGGAAACGGGAGAUGGCAUAUGAUUGCCUCCUUAAAUGUAGAAGAUACCCAAAAGAGAAAUCUGCAUACAUUUUGAUAUUAAGAAAUCACCAAGAAUUCUUCCACUCCUGAAAUACGUAGAUUUGCAGAUAACUCAGAAAGUCUUAAGCUAAAUGGCGUUUGUUUGUUUGUUUGUUUGUUUUCUUCAACUAAUGGGAUCACCAAGAUGCAGCACUCCUUUUCAGGAGUUGAUUUGCUCCAUUGUUUUUUCAGACAAUUUCUGUUGUUGUUGUUUUUCUUUAAAUUAAAUUUGAUGUUUCCUUUUUU